UCGAGUUGGUUAAAACGUCUAUUUUGAAAGUAGAGAUCAUAUUAUGAUUCGUAGGUUCAAGUCCUGCCCUUUUCA
rnacentral:tRNA from 1 species